AAAAGAAAAGUCGUCUUUUUUGAUUGUUACCCCUUAAAAACCGCAAUCAGGUUUUUUGCUUAUAAUUUUAGAGCCGUUGAUCAGGUUCCCUCAAAAUUUUGUAAACAUUUUGUUUUCGGGCCAUAGUAUUGGUAUACACAUUAUUGUAAAUCUAUUAUAAACGAAAAGACAUAAACAACCCCAAAACUCCUUAAAAUUACAAAAUAAAUCCUUACAAAUUAAAACUAAAUACUAAUAUACUGUAAUUAGGGGAUUACUAUUAAUUAAAAUUUGUAGGUAGUUUAACAUAUAGGGCACUCAGAUAUUAUAUUUUUAUUUAAUAGGAAUAUUACUUAAGUUUAUUUAUGCACACAAUUGUUUUAUACCAUAUGUAUUUUAUAGAUAAAAAUAUAAUAAGUAAUUUUGCAAUGGGGAAACCAAAAUUUAUUUUAAAAGUGAGAAAAGAACCUUUUGUUGUUGGAAAACCAAAUUCAAAGGCAGAGGCAAAAGUCCAGAGGAAAAAAAUAAAUAUGAAAGAACUUCAGAUUCAACAAGCUGUGUCUUGGUGCAUAGAGCACAAAAAAAGAGGCUAUGCUGCUUUGCAAAUUGGUAUGUUUUCUUUUAUCAAAGAUCAAGUAACUGUUGAUCGGAGAUUAGAUGGAAAAACUGCUAAUAUAAAAAAGCAACAUCUGCGAAUUUUGACAGCAGAAGAAGAACACUCGAUUGUAGAAUUCAUUAAAAAUAAAAACAGGUGCCAUCAAGGAAUAUCAAGGAAGCAAGUCACUAAUCUAAUUAUUGAUGUUUUAAAAAUUAGAGACUACUGCAACACCACGAAUCAAGGCAGUCACAAUUUUGGUAAACUAUCUGAUAAUGCAAAACAUGUUGUUAAGACAGGAAAGCUUGGCCAGUCGUUUUGGCAGAGAUGGGAAGCAGAGCACCAUAGCUUAGUUCUAAAACGACAAGGAAAUGUACCUAUUAACUGGGCAUUGAACUGCACAAGGGGGUAUGGCUGAGUCACAUUUAGAUUCGUUGGCUGAAGAACUUAUUAAAUGUGAGAUUUUCACAAACUCAAAAAAACUUGAACCUGGUGUGUGGAAGGGUUAUAUUGAUACAAAAAGAAUUUUUAAUUUUGACGAAACACCCCAGUUCAUAAAUUAUGGGGUUGAUGGAACAAAUUCCGGGCUCGCGUAUGUUGCACGUAGGGAACCUUGAAGAAAAAUGAUUAGGGAGAAUCGUGAAUCAAUAGCAAUAUGCCCAGUUGUUUCAUUAGCAGGCGAAAUUGUUGUUUCACAAGUUAUUUUUGCUGGUAAAGGUAUCACAAGUCAUAUGGCCCCAAAAACAGCUGUCAAAAAUAUAAAAAAUUUAAUUAUAUCAUUUACUGAAAAAGGAAGCCAGGAUAACUAUUCUUUAUUGGACCUACACAAAAAGUUUGAUAUAUAUUUGUCAGAAGAAAAUAUACAACGACCUGUUGUAAUGCUAGCAGAUGGACACAGUUCAAGAUUUGACUACAAUGUUCUACAUUUCCUCCAUGAAAAAAAAAUUAACUUGUUUAUAAGUCCUCCUGAUACAACUGGGGGGGGGGGUUACUCAACUGUUGGAUCAAAGUCCUAAUCAAAACAUGCAUCGUCAAUAUGAAAAAAAAAGAGAUGAACUUUUUACAACUUUCCAAACAAUAAACUGAGAAGGCUUCAUGACAAUUUUAGGAGAAAUGUGGGAUAAAUGGGCUUCAAGGGAUACCAUAAUUAAUGCUGCAAAGAGAGUUAGCAUAUCUAAAGAAGGUUUAAAUGUAAAUAAUAUGCAGCAAGAUAAAUUUCAACAGACUGCAAACUGUAUGGUUCAAAAUCAAGAACAAGAGCCUUCUAGUACACCUUCUUCUUGUUCUAAGUACACCAAAGAAAAUAUGCACACGUUCAUCAGCAAAUGUUUUGUUAACACCAAUUACUCCACAUUCAUUUCCCGAAUUAGCAAAAACAAAUCAUCGUUAUGGAUCAGCUAAUUAUUGGAAAAUUAUGUUCGAGCAGUCACAGAUGAUUAUGAAAGAAAGUUAUGAAAAAAGUUUAAUUCUAGAAGAUAUACCAGGUUUGCUUACAGUAAACAAGGUAAAGCCAAAAGACAUGAAUAAAAUAAAAAAUAUACGUGUCACAAACAUACAAGGGUCAAUGGAACCCCAAAACAUCAUUGAACAGGUUGAGUUGAUU
rnacentral:misc_RNA from 1 species